rnacentral:lncRNA from 1 species
AUCUAGCUGCUGCUGGCUCCAGCGGCCGCCGCUGCCCGGCCAAGUGGAGAGGACGGAAGGGGCUGGUGGAGAGCAGAGCGGGGACUCGGCGCCUGCGACGGGGGCACCGGGGGCGCGAGCUGCUCCCGCUUUGCUCAAGUUUUUAAUUCCCACGGCUUUGGUGAAGCCCCCCAGGUGCUCAAGCGCGGAGUUUUGCUCCUGGUCUCAGUGUAUGCCCAGUUCAAGGCCGCGUCUAGACAGCAGCCCUUGAAGCUGAGGACCAAAUGGUUCUCGGGAUACUUACCAGCUAAGGAGAUCACCCAGGAUCUUCCACACAGGCUCAGCCAGAAGGGACAGAAAGCCAGCUGACACAGUGGCUAAGCUGCACCGGACCCCAGUGUGGACCGUCACCAGCGCGGCUGCAGGCACUGAGGUGAUGCUGAUUGCACUGGCCUGUCCCUCCAGAAACAGAGAAGGAAGGGGAAAGCUGAAAGGGGAAACAACAGGAGAAGAAAGUGAAGAGGAAGAUGAAUAAAAGUCCCAGCUGAUGCAAAUAUUGACACAACCAUUUCCAGGGUAAAUAAAACUCCCAUUUGUGUUAUGCAAGUGCGAUAUUCUCUGAA